GACGAACGCUGGCGGCGUGCUUAACACAUGCAAGUCGAACGGAAAGGCCCUGCUUUUGUGGGGUGCUCGAGUGGCGAACGGGUGAGUAACACGUGAGUAACCUGCCCUUGACUUUGGGAUAACUUCAGGAAACUGGGGCUAAUACCGGAUAGGAGCUCCUGCUGCAUGGUGGGGGUUGGAAAGUUUCGGCGGUUGGGGAUGGACUCGCGGCUUAUCAGCUUGUUGGUGGGGUAGUGGCUUACCAAGGCUUUGACGGGUAGCCGGCCUGAGAGGGUGACCGGCCACAUUGGGACUGAGAUGCGGCCCAGACACCUACGGGAGGCAGCAGUGGGGAAUAUUGCACAAUGGGCGGAAGCCUGAUGCAGCAACGCCGCGUGCGGGAUGACGGCCUUCGGGUUGUAAACCGCUUUCGCCUGUGACGAAGCGUGAGUGACGGUAAUGGGUAAAGAAGCACCGGCUAACUACGUG
rnacentral:rRNA from 1 species